CCUACGGGUUGCAGCAGUGGGGAAUAUUGGACAAUGGGGGCAACCCUGAUCCAGCCAUGCCGCGUGUGUGAAGAAGGCCCUCGGGUUGUAAAGCACUUUCAGUGAGGAAGAACGCCUGGUGGUUAAUACCCAUCAGGAAAGACAUCACUCACAGAAGAAGCACCGGCUAACUCCGUGCCAGCAGCCGCGGUAAUACGGAGGGUGCGAGCGUUAAUCGGAAUUACUGGGCGUAAAGCGCGCGUAGGUGGCUUGAUAAGCCGGUUGUGAAAGCCCCGGGCUCAACCUGGGAACGGCAUCCGGAACUGUCAAGCUAGAGUGCAGGAGAGGAAGGUAGAAUUCCCGGUGUAGCGGUGAAAUGCGUAGAGAUCGGGAGGAAUACCAGUGGCGAAGGCGGCCUUCUGGACUGACACUGACACUGAGGUGCGAAAGCGUGGGUAGCAAACAGGAUUAGAUACCCCGGUAGUC
rnacentral:rRNA from 1 species